rnacentral:rRNA from 1 species
UAGGUUUUUUUUUUUUUUUUUUUUUUUUUUUUUUAUAUAAAAAAUUUUUUUUUUGUCCUUACUUGGUUUUAUUUGAUGUUUUUUUAUUUAGUUUAUUGUACUGUGAAGGUCAAUUAAGUUUUAUUUUAGAAUAAUAUUUUUUUUUAGUACCUUUUGUAUCAGGGUUAAUUAAUUUAUUUAAUUUAUUUUUUUUUCCCGAAAAUUUGAGAUCUACUUGAAAUUGAAUUUUAAUGUAAAAUAAUUAUUUGAAAAUUUUUUGUUGUUCUGAAAUGGAAUUCGUUCAAUUUUAUAUCUGGUUUUCUGGGAAUUUGAUUAAAUCAAGAAUUUCUUUUUGUUUAUUUAUUUUUUUUUUUCAUUUUGAAAUUUAAAAUUAAGGUGGAUAAGCUCUUUUUUAUUAUAUAAUUUUUUAAUUUUAUUUUUUUUGUUGGAUUAAUAUCUUUUAUCAUUUGAAGUUCGUUGAAGAUUAAUAAUUUAUUUUUUUAAUAUUUAUAUUUUUACUGGAAUUUAAUUUAUAAUUUUUUGGGUUUUGAUAAUGAUUAAAUUAGUAGAAUUAAAAAUUGUGAGUAUGAAUUAGGCAAAAUUUUUAUUUCCGCCUGUUUAACAAAAACAUGUCCUUUAGAUUUUAUUAAAGGUUGGGCCUGCUCAAUGAUUUUAAAUAGCCGCAGUAAUUUGACUGUGCUAAGGUAGCAUAAUAAUUAGUCUUUUAAUUGAGGUCUGGAAUGAAUGGUUUGACGAGAAAUAAACUUUAUUCUUUAAAUUUUUUUUGAAUUUUAUUUUUGAGUUAAAAAGCUCAGUUGAUGAAGAGGGACGAUAAGACCCUAUAGAUCUUUAUUUUUUCUUAAAUGGUUGUUUUUUAGAUUAUUUUAAGGUUUUUUUAAGAGUAAAUUUGGUUGGGGUGACAAAUAAAAUUUUUAACUUUAUUUUUUUUUUUCAUUUAUUUUUGUUUUUUUGAUCUUUUUUUUUGAUUUUAAGAUUAAGAUACCUUAGGGAUAACAGCGUUAUAAGUUUGGAGAGUUCUUAUUGAUAAACUUGUUUGCGACCUCGAUGUUGGAUUAAAAUUUUAUUGUGGGGUAGGUUCUACAUUCUUAGGUCUGUUCGACCUUUAAAAUUUUACAUGAUCUGAGUUCAAGCCGGCGUGAGCCAGGUUGGUUUCUAUCUUCUUUUAUUUAGUUCUAAUUGGUACGAAAGGAUUUUUAGAAAUGUAAUAAUUUAUUU